GCUUACCCAGUCCACAACACUGUGCUCCUCCAUGUGCCUCUCCCCUUUCCCAGCCCCCAGGCCUUUCUCCAGACACCGGACCUUGCGCUCUCUUCCUGGUCCUAAGGAUGGGAGAAGGGCCCACACCCACCUGGGGCCUUUGCCUGCCAGAACUGUGCUCAGUUCUGAAUGGAUCUUUAAUAACAAAAAUGCAGCCAGAAGAUGAAAUUUAAGUAAUAAAACUUAAGGAACACCUUGGAUAUUCACAUUUCCAUGUAAAACUGAGCACAGUGGCCCCAUGUGAAGAAUAUCAGUUCCUUUUAGAGUUGAAAAAACAACAUUAGAAGAAGAACACAACUGUUUUCUUAUUAAUCUAACACGCUUCCAAAUAGAGAUGAGUAACAUUAUCACCCAAAGGCGUGAUCCCAGCGUUUCAUACCAACACGUAUUUCUGCCUGGAAACUGAAGUCUCCUUCAAGACCACUGUGUGUGCGUAUUAACAAAGAAUCAUUUUCCACAACUCUUCAAACAGCAGUAUUUAAUCAUUGUCACAUCAAAAGCACUUCGUAGCUCACCAGCAUUUUUUGUUUUUCUUUGAAAUAUAAACCCAGACAUUUUUUAAAGCAGCAGCUCACAUCCACAGGUCUCAUUCAUAAGUGAUCCCCUUUAAAAAGGGAAAAAUCCACGGACUGUGUAAAAUACUUUCUGUUAUAAUGAAAUGCAGCAAGCAGAAAAACUUGCGUUGCUUUGAACUCCCUUAUCUCAUCACAAUAAACUUGCAAAGCUGAGCAUUUUCACCAAAUCUUAUUCAAUCUCCAUUUACAGAGACGCUGAACUUUUCACUUGGAUUUAUCAAGUGACAAGCUAUCAUCUCAAGGUAUCAUCAACAGGGGGGAAAAAUCAAUGUGAUUUGCUAUCAGAAAACUCCUUGCCAACUUCGUACUUGCAUUCACAGAAAGUAGAACACUUCUGAGACGUCCCUUCCACAUCUGAGAUACAACUCGGGAAUUAGAACUUUAUUUACCAUGGAUACAAUAGUUUAUUUUCUUCCUAUGAUGCAACUAGGAAGCUAGAACUGUUGCAUGGAUACUCACUGCAAAUAUAACACCACAAACCCAAACAGAAUUCUUAUUCUUUAUCCUUAUUACCUCCUCUUCUACUCGCUGCUAUCGACCUCACAAACCUUUACUGCUGGAAAGUUGUACUGGGACUAUCACUCUUUGAAUAAAAAAGUGAUGUAAUUAUUUAGAAAUGUUAAAUAAGAGCAUUUCAGUGAUAUUUUAUUAGUGCUUCUAUUUAAGAACACUGAGCAACGUAUUGGGACUCUUUGAAAUAUUCUCAAGCUCCAUCAUCAGAUCUUUCAAUCUUGGAUACCACAGUUACAAAACAAGCAUGUGCUGCAGUAGAAGAAAUGAUCCCGAUAGUGAGGUUCAGUAUUGCCAGCCGAGUUCUGUAAGGGAUUGCUGACAAGGUAUGAGAUGCUCCACUGCUAGUAAAGAACACACAAAACCACUAACAGGAAACCAAAAGAAGUUAUUUUGAAAGAAUGGAAACAGAAACUGGAAGAAACAAAGCAAGCACCAGGCUCCACAAAAUUAGGAAGAGAAAGGCUCACUGCAAAGCAGGGCAUAAAGUAUCUCACGCUACAUAACUCAAUGGCAGAAAGCUUACAGCAUAAUGCAGCAAACAGUACCACAUAAACAGCAAAUGAAACAAUGUCACACAAUGGAGAACCUUGUGCAGGAAAUAAUACAACUUUUUAUUCAUGUUU